UAUUCUCUGAUGCGUGUUUCG
rnacentral:siRNA from 1 species